GAUGAACGCUGGCGGCGUGCCUAAUACAUGCAAGUCGAGCGAACAGACGAGGAGCUUGCUCCUCUGACGUUAGCGGCGGACGGGUGAGUAACACGUGGAUAACCUACCUAUAAGACGGGGAUAACUUCGGGAAACCGGAGCUAAUACCGGAGAAUAUAUUGAACCGCAUGGUUCAAUAGUGAAAGACGGCUUUGCUGUCACGUAUAGAUGGAUCCGCGCCGCAUUAGCUAGUUGGUAAGGUAACGGCUUACCAAGGCAACGAUGCGUAGCCGACCUGAGAGGGUGAUCGGCCACACUGGAACUGAGCCACGGUCCAGACUCCUACGGGAGGCAGCAGUAGGGAAUCUUCCGCAAUGGGCGAAAGCUUGACGGAGCAACGCCGCGUGAGUGAUGAAGGUCUUCGGAUCGUAAAACUCUGUUAUUAGGGAAGAACAAAUGUGUAAGUAACUAUGCACGUCUUGACGGUACCUAAUCAGAAAGCCACGGCUAACUACGUG
rnacentral:rRNA from 1 species